CGUAUGUAUUCCUACGCCAGAGUUCAAUAUAGUCUAAUUUAACUCGACGCUCGGCUGUCUCCGUAAACCCUUGUCGGAGAUUUACGGUGUCAGCCGAGCGUUUGAUUGAACGAGACUAGAGUUCAAUAUUGCUUGGAUCCAUACAAUUUUCGAGAAAUAUUUUUACCAGUGAAACAUAGUUUGAUUGAAUUAAUUUUAUCUUUAAAUAUUAUUUAACAUGAUUCAUGUGGAGGUUUCUCGACAUUCUAGUCGAAAAAGUUCAAAAAUUCAUAUUAUAAAAAUAUGCGUAAUUCAAAUUAGAAACUACGUAUACAUGUACUUGUCAUGCAAAAUAACUUAUCAAAUAAACAUCGAC
rnacentral:sRNA from 1 species